GUGUGACCAGGGGGUGUGACACAGUGUGACGUCCUUGGGCACAGGGGGGUGGCACAGUGUGCCAGUGUCCCCCGGGCACAGGAGAUAUGACACAGUGUGACCCCUCCCCAUUCUGCUGUGUCCCCCAGCAGGGUUGCCCAUGUGGGGUGGCACCAUGAGCCUGGGGUGGCACUGAGGGCCUGGGAUGGCACUGUGGGCCUGGGUGGCUGGCAGACACGAGUGGCUGAGGAUGAUGUCUGAGGUGACACCUUGUGGAGACACAGAGGAGCUGGAGGCAGCAGUGCCAGGGCUGGUGCCACACGGUGGCGUGGGGGCCUGGCACAGCGUGGCACUGCCUGCUGGAGCUGGUGUGCCCCAGAUACUGCCCUGACAGUGGGACUGGGCUCCUCCACAGGGGAAAUCUGGGAUGCUGCAGUGACUCCCAGCAUUUCCAGAGCACCUCUAGACCUGGGCACCUGUGCAGCUGCCAUUGCUGCCCCUGUGCAGCUGCCAAGGUGCCAACCCUCCCAAAACCUCCCUGCCUCUCUGCAGGGCUGGGGGGACAUGUGGAAUUUGGUGGCUGGGGUCUCUGUGGGGUCGGGUCCCUCCUGCCCUGUCACACAGCCCCCCCAGAGCCCCCCCAGGCAUGGAGCCAUGGUGCCUGACCCACACACAGCUCCUGGGGAGGUGCUGCCCUGCCCUGUGCCCUGUCUCAGAGCCCUGAGAGACCCUUCAGGGGCUGCCCAGGGUGUCUGCCAUGGCCACCCCACCCAGCCCAGAGUGUGCAGCCAGACCUGCUCCCUUCCCCAGGAACCUCUCUGCCAUCCAGGACCGAGAGAUCUGUUGCUAUUCCAUCUCCUGCAAAGAAAAGGACAACAUUGACAUCACCCUACAGUGGCUUAUCCAGCACUCGAAGUCCAGGCGGAGCUGAGGGCCCUGGCUGGAUGGAAGCUGCCAUUGUCCCAGCCCAUCCUCUCCCUCCUGCUCUGUACCUCCAGCUCUCUCUCUAGAUGGGUAUUUUUAGGGGACCCCAGGCUCUGCUGACAUUGGGGCAGAGUCCUUGUUUUUAUUGUAAAGAAGAUGUCUGACUGCCCUCCUGUCCCCUGUCCUCUCCUGCCCUCUCUUCCUCCAUUUUGGCACUGUUCUGUUGUUGUCUGUGUAUACAGUAUAUAUAUAUGUAUAUAUAUUUUAAUUUUUUAAUUUAA